rnacentral:lncRNA from 1 species
UAAUAGCUUUCUUAUUGAUUUAUAAGGUUUUGGUGUUAUGUGUCUUUUUUUUUUUUUUAAGACAGGAAGAAUGAGUCUUGGAAAAGAGAAGAAAAUCAUUAUGAAAAAUCAGCCCAGGCAUAGAAGUCAAUUCAGACAGAGCUUGGGAGUGCUGCUAAAUAUGAGAGAGUGCGGUAUGGUGCAUUCAUGUUCAGUCGUGUCCAACUCUUUGUGAC